AUACGGAGGAUCCGAGCGUUAUCCGGAUUUAUUGGGUUUAAAGGGUGCGCAGGCGGGAGAUUAAGUCGGCGGUGAAAUUUUGCAGCUCAACUGUAAAAGUGCCUUCGAAACUGGGUUCCUUGAGUGUAGAUGAAGUAGGCGGAAUUUGUGGUGUAGCGGGGAAAUGCAUAGAUAUCACGAGGAACUCCGAUUGCGCAGGCAGCUUACUAAACUACUACUGACGCUCAGGCACGAAGGCGUGGGGAUCAAACAGGAUUAGAUACCCUGGUAGUCCACGCAGUAAACGAUGAUUACUAGCUGUUUGCGAUACAAUGUAAGCGGCUGAGCGAAAGCGUUAAGUAAUCCACCUGGGGAGUACGUUCGCAAGAAUGAAACUCAAAUGAAUUGACGGGG
rnacentral:rRNA from 1 species